rnacentral:rRNA from 1 species
AACGAACGCUGGCGGCAUGCCUAACACAUGCAAGUCGAACGAGACCUUCGGGUCUAGUGGCGCACGGGUGCGUAACGCGUGGGAAUCUGCCCCUUGGUUCGGGAAUAACUUCGGGAAACUGAAGCUAAUACCGGAUAAUGACGUAAGUCCAAAGAUUUAUCGCCAAGGGAUGAGCCCGCGUAGGAUUAGCUAGUUGGUGGGGUAAAGGCUCACCAAGGCGACGAUCCUUAGCUGGUCUGAGAGGAUGAUCAGCCACACUGGGACUGAGACACGGCCCAGACUCCUACGGGAGGGCAGCAGUGGGGAAUAUUGGGACAAUGGGCGAAAGCCUGAUCCAGCAAUGCCGCGUGAGUGAUGAAGGCCUUAGGG